rnacentral:rRNA from 1 species
UCCGGUUGAUCCUGCCAGAGGUUACUGCUAUCGAGGUUCGACUAAGCCAUGCGAGUCGAAUGUAGCAAUACAUGGCGUACUGCUCAGUAACACGUGGACAACCUGCCCUUAGGUUGGGUAUAAACCCGGGAAACUGGGUAUAAUCCCCUAUAAGUCUCGGCUGCUGGAAUGCACCGAGAUUAAAAGCUCCGGCGCCUAAGGAUGGGUCUGCGGCCUAUCAGGUAGUAGUGGGUGUAGCGUACCUACUAGCCUACGACGGGUACGGGUUGUGAGAGCAAGAGCCCGGAGAUGGAUUCUGAGACACGAAUCCAGGCCCUACGGGGUGCAGCAGGCGCGAAAACUUUACAAUGCUGGCAACAGCGAUAAGGGAACCUCGAGUGCCAGGUUACAAAUCUGGCUGUCGAGAUGCCUAAAAAGCAUUUCAUAGCAAGGGCCGGGCAAGACCGGUGCCAGCCGCCGCGGUAACACCGGCGGCUCGAGUGGUAACCGUUAUUAUUGGGUCUAAAGGGUCUGUAGCCGGCCGGAUAAGUCUCUUGAGAAAUCUGGCAGCUUAACUGUCAGGCUUUCAGGAGAUACUGUCUGGCUCGAGGCCGGGAGAGGUGAGAGGUACUUCAGGGGUAGGGGUGAAAUCUUGUAAUCCUUGAAGGACCACCAGUGGCGAAGGCGUCUCACCAGAACGGACCUGACGGCAAGGGACGAAAGCUAGGGGCACGAACCGGAUUAGAUACCCGGGUAGUCCUAGCCGUAAACGAUACUCGCUAGGUGUCGGCCACGGUGCGACCGUUGUCGGUGCCGUAGGGAAGCCGUGAAGCGAGCCACCUGGGAAGUACGGCCGCAAGGCUGAAACUUAAAGGAAUUGGCGGGGGAGCACCACAACGGGUGGAGCUUGCGGUUUAAUUGGAUUCAACGCCGGAAAUCUUACCGGGACCGACAGCAAUAUGAAGGCCAGGCUGAAGACUUUGCCGGAUUAGCUGAGAGGUGGUGCAUGGCCGUCGUCAGUUCGUACUGUGAAGCAUCCUGUUAAGUCAGGUAACGAGCGA